UACGAAGGGGGCUAGCGUUGCUCGGAAUCACUGGGCGUAAAGGUGCGUAGGCGGGUCGUUAAGUCGGGGUUGAAACCGUGGAAGCCUGCACACCCGAGACUGCCUUUGAUACUGAAGAUCUGAGUUCGGGAGAGGUGAGUGGAACUGCGAGUGUAGAGGUGAAAUUCGUAGAUAUUCGCAAGAACACCAGUGGCGAAGGCGGCUCACUGGCC
rnacentral:rRNA from 1 species